rnacentral:rRNA from 1 species
AGCAGCCGCGGUAAUUCCAGCUCCAAUAGCGUAUAUUAAAGUUGUUGCAGUUAAAAAGCUCGUAGUUGAAUUUCGGGAUCAGACUGUCGGUCGUGCCUCGGUACGCACUGGCAUUAUUGGUUCCUACCUUCUGAAGAACCGCGAUGUCAUUAAUUUGGUGUCGCGGGGAAUCAGGACUGUUACUUUGAAAAAAUUAGAGUGUUUAAAGCAGGCUCACGCUUGAAUACAUUAGCAUGGAAUAAUGAAAUAGGACGUUUGAUUCUAUUUUGUUGGUUUCUAGGAUCGACGUAAUGAUUAAUAGGGAUAGUUGGGGGCAUUAGUAUUCAAUUGUCAGAGGUGAAAUUCUUGGAUUUAUUGAAGACUAACUACUGCGAAAGCAUUUGCCAAGGAUGUUUUCAUUAAUCAAGAACGAAAGUUAGGGGAUCGAAGACGAUCAGAUACCGUCGUAGUCUUAACCAUAAACUAUGCCGACUAGGGAUCGGAUGAUGUUAAUUUUAUAAUGACUCAUUCGGCGCCUUACG